UAGGGAAUCUUCGGCAAUGGACGGAAAGUCUGACCGAGCAACGCCGCGUGAGUGAAGAAGGUUUUCGGAUCGUAAAACUCUGUUGGUAGAGAAGAACGUUGGUGAGAGUGGAAAGCUCAUCAAGUGACGGUAACUACCCAGAAAGGGACGGCUAACUACGUGCCAC
rnacentral:rRNA from 1 species